UACGGAGGGGUGCGAGCCGUUGUCCGGAAUCAUUGGGCGAAAGGGCGCGUAGGUGGCGGGACAAGCGUGCGGUGAAAGCCUGGGGCUCACCCCGGGUCGGCCGUGCGAACUGUUUUGCUUGAGCACUGUAGAGGCAGGCGGAAUUCCGGGUGUAGCGGUGGAAUGGCGUAGAGAUCCGGAAGAACACCGGUGGCGAAGGCGGCCUGCUGGGCAGUAGCUGACACUGAGGCGCGACAGCGUGGGGAGCAAACAGG
rnacentral:rRNA from 1 species